GCCAGUGUGGUGUAGUGGUUUGAGUGUUGGAUUACAACUCAGGAAACCAGGGUUUAAAUCACUGCUCAGCCA